CCCUGCAUAAGUUAAUUUAUUCUAGAUUUAUGUUGUGUUUGGCAUUCUGUUAGGCUUAUGCGGAUGGCCCAGGUUUAAUAAAGGGCCCGGUCUUAAUUUGCAAGAAUAACCCCGUCUAAUAAUACCUCCUCCCCCAUCCGAUAACUUUUAUCCUGCGGAUCUAGAUUAAUUUUUUGCUACCCUUCUCGCGAAUUUCGAUGAGAAUUUUGCCCUAGCUUCUCACCGCCUCCAUCGUUUCCCAUUCCAUUUGUGACUGCAGUUUUGGGGGCGAAAAUUUCCAAAGGCAAUUGACGGAAUCCCAUCGGAAAUCUGGACACAGCGGGUGUAACAACAACAUCAUCUUCCGGAUCAGGGAAGCAUAAAGAGGAACGUCUUCACAAACCUGAUAACCCCAAAGGAAAUGUUUGGAAAGAAUGCUACUGAAAAUGAACAAAUCAGUGAGGUGUAAUUACAUGAGAAGCUUGGGGGUACAUAACAAUUUUUUUAUUUUUUUUAGUACGCGCAAUAUUUAUUGAUUUAUGGAGGUGAGGUGGCCAUGGAAGUCGAGAAGGACUAGAGAAUAUGUACUUUCAUAGAAAAUUUAAGUUUGGUUAUUUUUUAUUUUUUUUAGCUUACA